rnacentral:rRNA from 1 species
GAAAAGAACUUUGAAAAGAGAGUUAAACAGUACGUGAAAUUGUUGAUAGGGAAACGAUUGAAGCCAGUCGUACCGACGGGAAUUCAACUUCUUGAGCGCUUGUCGUGGGUGAUGUAGAGCUUCACGGCCUUCGUUGCUUGCGCUAUGGUGCUUUUGGGGUGUACUUUUCCGUAUGGUAGGUCAAUAUCGAUUUUGGUCGUCAUAAAAUGAUCGGAGGAAUGUGGCUUCGAUCUCGUAUCGGAGUGUUAUAGCCUUUGGUAGAUGUGACGAUUGGGAUCGAGGAUUGCAACGAAUACCCUUUGGGCUAUCCGUCUGACCUCUGAAAGUCGCUCGGGUGUCGAAAGCGUGCUUAUGGCUAUCCAAGUUGACGUUCAAUAGGUUAGAACGGGUUAAAUUCGUU